rnacentral:rRNA from 1 species
GGGCUUGACAUCCCACGAACCUGGAAACAUGGUCUUCCACUUCGGUGGACCGGGUGACAGGUGCUGCAUGGCUGUCGUCAGCUCGUGUCGUGAGAUAUUGGGUUAGGUCCCGCAACGAGCGCAACCCCUGCCUUUAGUUGCCAUCAUUAAGUUGGGCACUCUAGAGGGACUGCCGGUGUUAAACCGGAGGAAGGUGGGGACGACGUCAAGUCCUCGUGGCCUUUAUGCCCAGGGCUACACACGUGCUACAAUGGGCGGCACAAAGGGCAGCGACGCCGCGAGGUGUAGCAAAUCCUAAAAAACCGUUCUCAGUUCGGAUCGGAGUCUGCAACUCGACUCCGUGAAGUUGGAAUCGCUAGUAAUCGUGGAUCAGCAUGCCACGGUGAAUACGUUCCCGGGCCUUGUACACACCGCCCGUCACACCACGAAAGUCUGCUGUACUCGAAGUCGCUGAG